CAGCACUUCUGGCAAACUAUUUGAAAGAAUAGGACGCAAAGCUUCCGGUCUGUCGAUAUUCACGUAUCUAUGAUAGCGGGGCCGCCACU
rnacentral:ncRNA from 1 species